UCCGGUGUCGUCCAAUGGCAGGACAGUGGACUUUGGAUCCACGAAUGAUGGUUCGAAUCCAUCCGCCGGAA
rnacentral:tRNA from 1 species